GGGGAAUAUUGCGCAAUGGGCGAAAGCCUGACGCAGCGACGCCGCGUGAGGGAUGAAGGUUCUCGGAUCGUAAACCUCUGUCAGAAGGGAAGAAACCGCACCGUGCUAAUCAGCGGUGCAUUGACGGUACCUUCAAAGGAAGCACCGGCUAACUCCGUGCCAGCAGCCGCGGUAAUACGGAGGGUGCAAGCGUUAAUCGGAAUUACUGGGCGUAAAGCGCACGUAGGCUGCUUUGUAAGUCAGGGGUGAAAUCCCACGGCUAAACCGUGGAACUGCCUUUGAUACUGCUUAGGUUGAUUCCGGGAGGGGGUGGCGAAUUUCAAGGUGUAGGGGUGAAACCCGUAGAUAUCGGGAGGAACAUCUGGGGCGAGGGCGGCCACCUGGACCGGUAUUGACGCUGAGGUGCGAAAGCGUGGGGAGCAAACA
rnacentral:rRNA from 1 species